rnacentral:rRNA from 1 species
UACGGGGGGGGCAAGCGUUGUUCGGAAUUACUGGGCGUAAAGGGCUCGUAGGUGGCCAACUAAGUCAGACGUGAAAUCCCUCGGCUUAACCGGGGAACUGCGUCUGAUACUGGAUGGCUUGAGAUUGGGAGAGGGAUGCGGAAUUCCAGGUGUAGCGGUGAAAUGCGUAGAUAUCAGGAGGAACACCGGUGGUGUAGACGGCUUUCUGGACCGUAACUGACGCUGAAACACGAAAGCGUGGGUAGCAAACAGG